GACAGCUCAGCUGGUUAGAGCAUAGCGCUGGCAAUGCCAAGGUUGCAGGUUUGAUCCCCGUAUGGGACA